AGAGGGUGAUGGGACAGAAGAGGGAGGAGACAGAGGCUGAUAAGACAGAGGAAGGAGGACAAAGAAGCUGUUGGGACAGAGGACAAAGGAGGGGACAGAGGCUGAUGAGACAGAGGAGGGAGGGGACUGAGGCUGAUGGGACA